UCCUAUCCUACUUGCCCCUUCCGGCCUGCCCUAGCGCCCAGACCCGGCCGCACUUCCCCGUUCCUUUCCUUUCUGACAGAUCUAGUCUCGCGCGCUGGCGGGGUGCGAGUCCGAGAGCCUCCCCGAACGCUGAGGAGGGAAUGUGGGGCGCGCAGGAAGGGGCCGGCCGCAGCAUCAGGGCCGGCGCUGUCGUCCGCCUCCCUUUCCCCAGGCCCCGGAGCUGAGGCCCGAAACCAGAGCUCGGGGCAGCGCGGCUCCCUGGCCCCGGGCAUGGAGGCCCCGGAGGCGGCACCCGCUCAGGCUGAGGGCGCGGAGCCGGCGCCCUGGGCGCACCUAGAGGCCCCCGCCCGCCUCCUGCUGCAGACGCUGCAGGCGGGGCCCGACGGGGCGCGGCGCGGCUUGGGGGUGCUGCGGGCUCUGAGCGGCCGCGGCGGGGAGCCCUUCGGCUGGGACCGCGUCUUUGAGGCGCUAUGCCGGGAGGAGCCAGUAGUGGAGGGCCCGGACUGUCGCCUGGAGCUGAAACCACUGCUGCUGCGAUUGCCCCCGUUAUGCCAGAGGAACCUGAUGUCCCUACUGAUGGCUGUUUGGCCGUCGCUGCCCGAAAGCAGUCUCCACCCUGUGCUGCAGAUUGUGCAGCAGGAUCCAAGCCCCGACCGUGAUCCCUGGCUCCGGGCCCUUGGGGAAUUUCUGCGAAGGGAUCUGGGUGUUGGGGUCUCCACUGAGGGAGUGUCCCCACUGUCUAAAAGGUGCCAGAGACAGCUCCGAGGCCUGUGUAGGCAGCUGGGCCAAGGGGGCAGGAAGUUGAAGUUGCCCCAGGCUCCAGAUCCCGAAGGGACAGAACAGGAGGAGGACAAGGACUCCCAGCGGCCUGGGAAACGCAGAAAGGAAGCGGAGGAAGAGCCUGCCAGUCCUGAGGGGGAGAGGGCCCCCAAGAGGCUCCGGUGGUUGGAAAAGGAAGAAGAAGAAAGUCAUGAGGAAAACAGACCUGAACAUGAAUCUUUGGAAUCCCUGGCCAAUGGAGGAGGUGCAUCGUCCAUUAAGAACCAGCCUGUUUUGGGGGCUAAGCCCAGUGAGGCUGGUCAGAGUCUAGAGGAUGCUAAGGGCCUACCUGAGAGUUUGGAGUUGCCCAGAGCUAUCCAGGAACAAGUUCCCAGGCUGCAGCAGCUGCUCAAGACCCUCGGGAAGGGGUUGGAAGGGCUGGAGGGCACCCCACCAGUUGAGCUGCAGCUUCUCCACGAAUGCAGUCCUGGCCAGGUGGACCUGGUGUGUGCCCAGCUGCAGCUCCCACAGCUCUCGGACACAGGUCUCCUGCAGCUCUGCACCUGGCUGCUGGCCCUUUCACCAGACCUCAGCCUCAGCAAUGCUACUGUGCUGACCAGGAGCCUCUUCCUUGGACGGAUUCUCUCCCUGACUUCCUCAGCCUCCCGCUUGCUCACAACUGCCCUGACCUCCUUCUGUACUAAGUACACCUACGCCGUCUGCAGAGCCCUCCUUGGCCCUGUGCUCCAAGCCCCAGGAAUAGGUCCAGCUCAAACAGAGUUACUGUGUUGCCUUACAAAGGACGAGGCCCUGGAGCCGGACAUGCAGGCUCUAAUGCUGGGAUCUUGGAGCUGCCCUGGAAGGAAGAGACUUUCUUGGUGUUGCAGUCACUCCUGGAGCAGCAGGUGGAGAUGCCCUCUGAGAAGUUCAGUGUGUUGAUGGAGAAACUCUGUAAAGAGGGGCCAGCAGCCACCACGUCCAUGGCCUAUGCCAAGCUCAUGCUGACAGUGGUAACCAAGUAUCGGGCCAAUAUCAGUGAGCCCCAGAGGCUGGGCCUGGCUGCAGUUCUGGAGCUCAAUACCACUUUCCUGAAGAAGUCCCUGCAGGCUGCCCUGAGACAGCUGGCCCCCUGACCAUCCACCAAGGGACCACCCUCCCGGACCUCCCUCAUCAGAUUCCCGAAGGACACUUCUGCCCUGAGCACCUCAUCCUGCCCCUUGCCUGGGGGUCAGGGCUGAGCCUGGCCAUCCCAGGGGUCAACUGUCUCCCUGCUCCAGGCUGCAGAGAGGCCAUCUGGGCCUCCCAGCCAGCAGGAAGGGUCUGGGGCUAAGGGGGCUGGGUGAGUUGUAUUACCAAGAGCUGCUGAGCCUGGGCUGCCUCCUUGUCAUUUCUACCUCAGGCUGUGGGGACAGACACUUUAAGAUAGGCAUCAGACUUCCUUGAUGGUCCAGCGGUUAAGAUUCUGCACUUCCAUUGCAGGGGACGAGGGUUGGAUCCCUGGUUGGGGGAGUUCCGCAUGCCGUGAGAUGUGGCCAAAAUAUAAUAAUAAAUAAAAUAGGAGUUAAGAUAGG